rnacentral:rRNA from 1 species
UACGAAGGGGGCUAGCGUUGCUCGGAUUUACUGGGCGUAAAGGGCGCGUAGGCGGUUCGUACAGUCAGACGUGAAAUUCCUGGGCUCAACCUGGGGGCUGCGUUUGAUACGUGCGGACUUGAGUGCGGAAGAGGGUCGUGGAAUUCCCAGUGUAGAGGUGAAAUUCGUAGAUAUUGGGAAGAACACCGGUGGCGAAGGCGGCGACCUGGUCCGAUACUGACGCUGAGGCGCGAAAGCCAGGGGAGCAAACGGG